UACGUAGGGUGCAAGCGUUGUCCGGAAUUAUUGGGCGUAAAGAGCUCGUAGGCGGUUCGUCGCGUCGGCUGUUGAAAACCUGAGGCUCAACCUCAGGCCUGCAGUCGAUACGGGCGGACUUGAGUACUUGCAGGGGAGACUGGAAUUCCUGGUGUAGCGGUGAAAUGCGCAGAUAUCAGGAGGAACACCGGUGGCGAAGGCGGGUCUCUGGGCAGUAACUGACGCUGGAGGAGCGAAAGCGUGGGGGAG
rnacentral:rRNA from 1 species